rnacentral:rRNA from 1 species
UACGAAGGGUGCAAGCGUUAAUCGGAAUUACUGGGCGUAAAGGGUGCGUAGGCGGUUCGUUAAGUCUGUCGUGAAAUCCCCGGGCUCAACCUGGGAAUGGCGAUGGAUACUGGCGAGCUAGAGUGUGUCAGAGGAUGGUGGAAUUCCGGGUGUAGCGGUGGAAUGCGUAGAGAUCCGGAAGAACACCGGAGGCGAAGGCGGCUGGCUGGGCCUGAUCUGACGCUGAGGUGCGAAAGCGUGGGGAGCGAACAGG